UUUACAUAGGUGUUUAUAUAUAUAUAUAUAUAUCAUCUAUAUGGAUAAAAUCAGGUUAGCAUGAUGUUACAGAUGACAUUGAAGGGGAAGAGUUCACAAAAUGUUAAACUAAGGAGAGAAAUAUGUGGAGGAGGAGGAGGAUAGAAUAGAUUCAUUUCUUUACCAUGGUGUUAAGUAUGCUGGGCUUCUGUCAGUGCAUUAGUGAAUUUAAAGUCUGAUCAAAUGUCAGCUAACUAAAAGCCUCCCUUUUUUUCCCACCCACCUGCUGGGGCAAACUCAAGGCUGAUCAUUCUGCUUUGCUGCUUCCUAACAAAUCUCGGAGAGUAUGUAUACCUAUGGUAGAUAGUGAUUUUAAUUUUUUGAAACCUGAAAUGUAAAGUAAGGUAUAAUUUGUGCUUAUGAGAAAUGAGAGAACUCAUUUCAUUUUAAGAUUAAACUCUGUCUCUUCCAGUACCCUUCCCAAAAUUUAAUUCUUUUCUGGAAGGUCCUGAUCUUGGGUCAACAAGAAUUUUAUUGAUAUUGGAGUAGAUGUUCUUUGUCAUGUAUUGUCUGUUGUCACUCCUAAUCCAAUAUGAAUGACCCACCAUCUUCCAUCAUCUGGUAGUAUCUUGUCUCUCAUCUUGACAAAUAGGUAUAAAUGAGGGUGUCAGAGGUGAAGAGAAAGUAAUUAUCUGGAAGAAUAUACUCAGUUUUAUUUUAAGAAAAAGAUCAUACCUAAACAUUUAGAAAAAGAUUCAAGAAAAUGGAAGAAAAAAACCAAAGGACAAAGUCCAAGCCACCAUCCUUUAGAGAUGAAUCUGACUAACUGGGCUCAGUUAUCAUUUACAUUUUUGAUGCAGUUUGAUGUUUCUCUCUUUGAAACUGUGAAGGCAGAAAGUGGAAAGAUAUAAAUAGGAAGUAAAAAAGAUAGAUGAUAUACCAAUGAAAAUCUGCAAAAAAGAUUAUAAAGCUCAGUAAUGGAACUCCUCAAAAAUUGAAUCUUGGUUAUUCAAACUUAGAUUAAAUUUUUUGUUCUCACAUGUUAAGUAGAACAACCUUUACAAGACUGUUAUCUGUAGUUGCUUUUAGGGCACUUAGCUUGCUUCAUAUACUUUUUUUUUAAUACUUGUGUUUUUCUCAGACUAGCCCAUGGAAAAUUUUAAUCCAUAAAUUCUAUAGCUUAACACAGAAGGCAGAAUGCUAUAGGAGAAGGCUAGCUGAGUUGGAAAAAGUGAGAUUGAGUCCUAGCUUUCACACUUAUUACCAACCAGAAGUCCUUCAAAUUACUAGAAAGUCAUUUUCUCUAAACCUGAGUUUCCUUAAAUAUAAAAGGAGGACACAAAUGCAUGUAUUAUCUGUGUCAGAGUUCUGGUGAAUUUUGCUAACUAAAAAGGGGGUUAUAUGUGUGUGAGCUGUUAUAAAAGAAUUAGCAAUAGAUUAUUCUAAUGCUCUAUUGAAGACUAAAAGACUUUCCACCAAGGAGAAAAUCAGAGUUGAGGAGAGAAAGAUCACUAUAGUCAGUAAAGUCAUGACAAUUAUAGAUAGGGUCAGUACUAACAUGUCAAGUUUGAGCUGGCAGAUAACUCUGAGCUAUGAUUUAUUAGGUAUGGAUAGAUCUCAUGCUCCCAAAUCUAUCUCUCCUCAGCCCACUACAAUUCCUAGAAUUCCAGCCAGUAUAAUCAUUUCUUUUUGAGUUAGAAUGUCUUUUUUUUUUUCCUCCAGAAAAGACUGUGAAAAGGUAAACAAUAUUAUCUAGCAGGAGUAAAAUAUAAGACUCUGAAAAUUGCUAAAAUUUUUAUCAAUGUACAUAUACACACUAUAUAUAUGUGUGUAUGAAAUUAGCUAGCUAUGUUAGAAAUCCAAUGACUUCAUUAAGAAUGUACAGUUAGUAAAUAUCAGAGCUAGGAUUUGAAACUAGGUCUUUUGAUUCCAAAUGAUUUGUGUUUCUAAUAUACCACACAUGCUAGAGAGCUUACUGUUGUACAGGGGAUGAAAAUAAAACAAAACUGGGGCUGAAUUAGUGUCUAUGGAAAAGAAAUUUACCUUUCAUGAUUACUUGUCUUUUCCUUCCCAUCUAUAAUAUUAGGAGCCCUAUCUUGGAAAAUCACAGUAUUUUCUAAGUAGUGUGUGUGCACAUGAGUGUGUGUUUAUGUGGGGUGUGUGUGUAUGUAAAAGAGAGAAAGAGAAAGAGAGAAAAGAAAAAGAACUAGAAGAAGACAAAGAAAAAGCAAGAAGAGGAGGAAGAGGAUUCCACCAAGGUGAUUUAUUUUUAAGAUGACUCCAUGAAUCCCUGUAAUCAAAAUUUCAUCAGUGGCGAUCCUUCCACACAUACAAACAUGUGAAAUCCAAGUAUUUUAUCUGGCAGCUAUGGAGGGAGGGGAAAAGAGGGAGAUGUCCCCUCAGUUUGGAAUGUUGAUAUUAAGAAGCUCUAAAGAUCCAUGGAAGAACUUGAAUCAACUAAUCCCAAUGGCAGAAAGGCAUGGCUGAUGCUGGAAAAAAGGAAAAUCCCAGUGAGGAGGUGCUUUCCCCAAUGAAGAUUCAAGACAUUUAGAUAUAUGUCUGUGGCACAAAGAAGGGUUUUGUGUCUUGCGCAGGAUCACAUAGCCAGCAUGCAUCAGAAGUGGGACUUGAACUCAUGUCUUCCUGACUCUAAAUUGGUUCAUUAGUCAUUGAACUAUGCUGCUUUUCAUGCUUAUAUAGCACAGUCACUGCCAUCCUGGGAGACCUUUGAAGCUAUAAAGGCAGAACAUGGAGAAUAUUUUCAGUGGAUUUUUUUUCUUUUAACAAUGGGGACAAAGUAUUUACUCCUAAUUAAAUUCAUUGCUUAUUUGAACAAGUGUAAUUUUAGAUAAAUCACUGUAUCUCAUUGUGUCUCAAUUAGUUUUCUCAUCAGUAAAAUCAAGGAAAUAGGCUGAAUUAUCUCUAAGUUUUCUUUUAGCUCUAAAUCUGAGAUCCUACAAG